CCUACGGGCGGCAGCAGUGGGGAAUAUUGGACAAUGGGGGGAACCCUGAUCCAGCCAUGCCGCGUGUGUGAAGAAGGCCCUCGGGUUGUAAAGCACUUUCAGUGAGGAAGAACGCCUGGUGGUUAAUACCCAUCAGGAAAGACAUCACUCACAGAAGAAGCACCGGCUAACUCCGUGCCAGCAGCCGCGGUAAUACGGAGGGUGCGAGCGUUAAUCGGAAUUACUGGGCGUAAAGCGCGCGUAGGUGGCUUGAUAAGCCGGUUGUGAAAGCCCCGGGCUCAACCUGGGAACGGCAUCCGGAACUGUCAAGCUAGAGUGCAGGAGAGGAAGGUAGAAUUCCCGGUGUAGCGGUGAAAUGCGUAGAGAUAGGGAGGAAUACCAGUGGCGAAGGCGGCCUUCUGGACUGAAACUGACACUGAGGUGCGAAAGCGUGGGUAGCAAACAGGAUUAGAUACCCCAGUAGUC
rnacentral:rRNA from 1 species